AAAAAUGAUAGAGUUAGAGAGAGAUAUAAAAUGUUCUUACACAAUAAGCAGUUAUGCAAUAGAAAACACAACCACAAGAAACAGUAUGAUGCUUGACCACAAUAAAACAUAGACAAUGAAGACAAUCAAUGUGUUUUCCCCAAAGACCUAAAGGGGGAAAGAAGGUAAAGAGGAAACAGUUCCACCUACCUUAAGCAUGAAGAAACAGGAUAA
rnacentral:misc_RNA from 1 species